rnacentral:rRNA from 1 species
UACGGAGGGUGCAAGCGUUAUCCGGAUUUACUGGGUUUAAAGGGUGCGCAGGCGGAUAUGUAAGUCAGUGGUGAAAUCUUUGGGCUUAACCCGAAAAUUGCCAUUGAUACUAUAUAUCUUGAAUGCUGUGGAGGUAAGCGGAAUAUGUCAUGUAGCGGUGAAAUGCUUAGAGAUGACAUAGAACACCUAUUGCGAAGGCAGCUACUACGCAGAUAUUGACGCUCAUGCACGAAAGCGUGGGGAGCAAACAGG